UACGUAGGUGGCGAGCGUUGUCCGGAAUUACUGGGUGUAAAGGGCGCGUAGGCGGGGAUGUAAGUCAGAUGUGAAAUACCAUGGCUCAACCGUGGGGCUGCAUCUGAAACUAUGUUUCUUGAGUGCUGGAGAGGAAAGCGGAAUUCCUAGUGUAGCGGUGAAAUGCGUAGAUAUUAGGAGGAACACCAGUGGCGAAGGCGGCUUUCUGGACAGUAACUGACGCUGAGGCGCGAAAGCUAGGGGAG
rnacentral:rRNA from 1 species